GACGAACGCUGGCGGCGUGCUUAACACAUGCAAGUCGAACGGAAAGGCCCAGCUUGCUGGGUGCUCGAGUGGCGAACGGGUGAGUAACACGUGGGUGAUCUGCCCCUAACUUCGGGAUAAGCUUGGAAAACUGGGUCUAAUACCGGAUAGGACAAUCGUUUAGUGUCGGUUGUGGAAAGUUUUUUCGGUUAGGGAUGAGCCCGCGGCCUAUCAGCUUGUUGGUGGGGUAACGGCCUACCAAGGCGUCGACGGGUAGCCGGCCUGAGAGGGUGGACGGCCACAUUGGGACUGAGAUACGGCCCCGACUGCAACGGGAGGCAGCAGUGGAGAAUAUUGCACAAUGGGCGGAAGCCUGAUGCAGCGACGCCGGGUGGGGGAUGACGGCCUUCGGGUUGUAAACCUCUUUCGACAGGGACGAAGCUUUGGUGACGGUACCUGUAUAAGAAGCACCGGCUAACUACGUG
rnacentral:rRNA from 1 species